rnacentral:rRNA from 1 species
UACAGAGGUGGCAAGCGUUGUUCGGAAUUAUUGGGCGUAAAGCGCGCGUAGGCGGCCGCUUAAGUCGGAUGUGAAAGCCCCUGGCUCAACUGGGGAAGUGCACCCGAAACUGAGUGGCUUGAGUACUAAAGAGGGUCGCGGAAUUCCCGGUGUAGAGGUGAAAUUCGUAGAUAUCGGGAGGAACACCGGUGGCGAAGGCGGCGACCUGGGUAGAUACUGACGCUGAGGCGCGAAAGCGUGGGGAGCAAACAGG